rnacentral:rRNA from 1 species
UCUGGCUUCUGGUAGGUACCGUCAGCUGAACUUUCUCUGAAUUCAGUUAUUCUUCCCUUACAACAGUGCUUUACGACCCGAAGGCCUUCAUCACACACGCGGCGUCCCUCCUUCACACUUUCGUGCAUUGCGGAAAAUUCCCUACGGCUGCCUCCCGUAGGAUUAAGGGAAUUUGCCGCCUGCAGAGGCGGGAGCCCAGCGGCAUAUUAAAAAAGGGUUUGGUUUCAAAAUCUUUUUGAGGGGAAAAGUACGAAUUCAAAAAUUUUUAAGAGAUGUCAUAAAAAAACGGGGAUCACUCUUGCGCGCCCAAAAAAA